ACGGGAGGCAGCAGUAGGGAAUAUUGCACAAUGGGGGGAACCCUGAUGCAGCAACGCCACGUGUGGGAAGAAGCAUUUCGGUGUGUAAACCACUGUCGUGAAGGAAUAAUGCCUGGUCUCGGCCAGGCUGAAUGUACUUUGAAAGGAAGCACCGGCAAACUUCGUGCCAGCAGCCGCGGUAAUACGAGGGGUGCAAGCGUUGUUCGGAAUCACUGGGCGUAAAGGGAGCGCAGGCGGAGAUGCAAGCGGUCUGUACAAUCCCGGGGCCUAACCCCGGACCUGCAGACCGGACUGUUUCUCUUGGAUAGCUCAGGGGCUGGCGGAAUUCCUGGUGUAGCGGUGGAAUGCGUAGAGAUCAGGAAGAACACCGAUGGCGAAGGCAGCCAGCUGGGGGCUUAUCAACGCUCACGCUCGAAAGUGCGGGUAGCAAACAGGAUUAGAUACCCUGGUA
rnacentral:rRNA from 1 species